rnacentral:tRNA from 1 species
UCGCGGCCUGGGCGGCGGCGGCCUGGGCGCUGGACGCGCCACCGGAGCGGGUCGCCGGCGUUGCCGUGGU